rnacentral:rRNA from 1 species
GACAGAGGGUGCAAACGUUGUUCGGAAUUACUGGGCGGAAAGCGCGUGUAGGCGGCUCGGCAAGUCGGGUGUGAAAGCCCUGGGCUUAACCUAGGAAGUGCACUCGAAACUGCCAAGCUUGAGUUCUGGAGAGGAAGGCGGAAUUCUCGGUGUAGAGGUGAAAUUCGUAGAUAUCGAGAGGAACACCGGUGGCGAAGGCGGCCUUCUGGACAGCAACUGACGCUGAGACGCGAAAGCGUGGGGAGCAAACAGG